rnacentral:rRNA from 1 species
UACGGAGGGUGCAAGCGUUACUCGGAAUCACUGGGCGUAAAGAGUGCGCAGGCGGGCUUGUAAGUCAGAUGUGAAAUCCUAUGGCUUAACCAUAGAACUGCAUUUGAAACUGUUAUUCUAGAGUAUGGGAGAGGUAGGUGGAAUUCUUGGUGUAGGGGUAAAAUCCGUAGAGAUCAAGAGGAAUACUCAUUGCGAAGGCGACCUGCUAGAACAUAACUGACGCUGAGGCUCGAAAGCAUGGGUAGCGAACAGG